CCUACGGGUGGCAGCAGUGAGGAAUAUUGGUCAAUGGACGAGAGUCUGAACCAGCCAAGUAGCGUGAAGGAUGACUGCCCUAUGGGUUGUAAACUUCUUUUAUAAAGGAAUAAAACGAGGCACGUGUGCCUUUUUGCAUGUACUUUAUGAAUAAGGAUCGGCUAACUCCGUGCCAGCCGCCGCGGUAAUACGGAGGAUCCGAGCGUUAUCCGGAUUUAUUGGGUUUAAAGGGAGCGUAGAUGGGUUGUUAAGUAAGUUGUGAAAGUUUGCGGCUCAACCGUAAAAUUGCAAUUGAUACUGGCAGUCUUGAGUACAGUUGAGGUAGGCGGAAUUCGUGGUGUAGCGGUGAAAUGCUUAGAUAUCACGAAGAACCCCGAUUGCGAAGGCAGCUUACUAAACUGUGACUGACAUUGAUGCUCGAAAGUGUGGGUAUCAAACAGGAGUAGAUACCCGGGUAGUC
rnacentral:rRNA from 1 species